CAGGUACAAAUUCCCAUGAUGAAUGUUAUCAUUAUGUAUCUCUUAAUAUAUACCAGUAACAAAACAAAACAACAAGUUGAACCAGAACAAAUUAGGGCCUAUGUAUAUUUACAUUUUUAAAAAAAUUAUGCAUGAGUUCAAUCCCUGGUACCAGGAAAAAAAAUUAUGAACAUGAAUUAAAGGCACAAAAAUAGGAAGUAUGGAGAAGGAGAGAAAUGAAAUGGAAGAGGAAGAAUAAAGGGGAAUUAAAAUGAAAUAUGUUAUAGGCUGGGGAUUUAGCUCAGUGGUUCCACCGCCUGCCCCGCAAGCACAAGGACCCAAGUUUGAUCCCCAGUACCAAAAAAAAAAAAAUUUAUAUAUAUAUGUUAUAAUGAUAGGCAAUAAUAAAAGCUAACACUUAACAGCAGGCGCCCUCUUAGUACUUUUAUAUAUAACAUCACUUACUUUUUCUC
rnacentral:lncRNA from 1 species